rnacentral:rRNA from 1 species
GUGAGGAAUAUUGGUCAAUGGACGAGAGUCUGAACCAGCCAAGUCGCGUGAAGGAAGACGGUUCUAUGAAUUGUAAACUUCUUUUGUGCUGGAAUAAAGUGGGUUACGUGUAACCUUUUGUAUGUACUGUACGAAUAAGGAUCGGCUAACUCCGUGCCAGCAGCCGCGGUAAUACGGAGGAUCCGAGCGUUAUCCGGAUUUAUUGGGUUUAAAGGGUGCGUAGGUGGAUUGAUAAGUCAGCGGUGAAAGUUUGCAGCUUAACUGUAAAAUUGCCGUUGAAACUGUCGGUCUUGAGUGCAAAUGAGGUAGGCGGAAUGUGUUGUGUAGCGGUGAAAUGCUUAGAUAUAACACAGAACUCCGAUUGCGAAGGCAGCUUACUGGGAUGCAACUGACACUGAUGCACGAAAGCGUGGGUAUCAAACAGGAUUUGAUACCCUAGUAGUCC